UCGAGAAUUUUUCUCAAUGGGGGCAACCCUGAAGGAGCGACGCCGCGUGGAGGAUGAAGGUUUUCGGAUUGUAAACUCCUGUCAUCCGGGAGCAAUGCUGCGCGUUUAACUGACGCGUAGUUGAUAGUACCGGAAGAGGAAGAGACGGCUAACUCUGUGCCAGCAGCCGCGGUAAUACAGAGGUCUCAAGCGUUGUUCGGAUUUAUUGGGCGUAAAGGGUGCGCAGGCCGCAUGGUAAGUCUGGUGUGAAAUCCUGGAGCUUAACUCCAGAAUUGCACUGGAUACUGCCGUGCUAGAGGACUGGAGAGGAGAUUGGAAUUCACGGUGUAGCAGUGAAAUGCGUAGAUAUCGUGAGGAAGACCAGUGGCGAAGGCGAAUCUCUGGACAGUUCCUGACGCUCAUGCACGAAGGCCAGGGGAGCAAACGG
rnacentral:rRNA from 1 species